AAAUUUUGGUCAAGCGUAAAAGGGCUUAUGGUGGAUUCCUUGGCGUUGACGGCCGAUGAAGGGCGUGGCAAGCUGCGAAAAGCUUCGGGGAGCCGCUAACAGGCGUUGAUCCGGAGAUACCCGAAUGGGGCAACCCUGCACAGGGAAUGCUGUGCAAUCUAUAACUGAAUCCAUAGGUUAUAGAAGACAACCGGGGGAAUUGAAACAUCUCAGUACCCCGAGGAAAAGAAAACAAAAGUGAUUCCCCUAGUAGCGGCGAGCGAACGGGGAAGAGCCUAAACCGUACAUACGUGAUAGCUCGUGGGCGUUGUGUGUAUGGGGUUGUGGGGUCCAGUCAGGCGGAGCUACGAAUCUGCCGGAAUGUAAAAAAAAUAUGAUUUAGUUUAAGGAGCUGGAAAGCUCAGCCAUAGACGGUGAUAGCCCGGUGAGCGAAAAGUCAUAUUCAUUCUUGAUUGGAUACCCGAGUACUGCGGGACACGAGAAAUCUUGCAGGAAUCUGGGAGGACCACCUCCUAAGGCUAAAUACCAGUCAACGACCGAUAGUGAACAAGUACCGUGAGGGAAAGGUGAAAAGUACCCCGUUGAGGGGAGUGAAAUAGUAUAUGAAACCAUAAGCCUACAAUCAGUGGGAGCACUAUAUCUUUGGUUCGCCAAAGACAGGUGUGACCGCGUACCUUUUGCAUAAUGAGCCGCCGAGUUACUCUAUUCAGCAAGGUUAAGCCGAUAGGCGUAGCCGUAGCGAAAGCGAGUUUUAAUAGAGCGUAUAGUUGAAUGGAGUAGACCCGAAGCCGGGUGAUCUACCCAUGGCCAGGAUGAAGCGAAGGUAACACUUCGUGAAGGUCCGAACCAGUAGUCGUUGAAAAGACUUUGGAUGAGCUGUGGGUAGGGGUGAAAGGCUAAUCAAACUCGGCAAUAGCUGGUUCUCCCCGAAAUAGUUUUAGGACUAGCCUUGUAUAAGAUAGUCAACGGAGGUAGGGCGCUGGAUGGGCUAGGGGCCUCACCAGGUUACCAAACCCAACCAAUCUUCGAAUUCCGUUGAUGGUAAUACAGGAGUCAGACUAUGGGUGAUAAGGUCCAUGGUCAAAAGGGAAAGAGCCCAGAUCGCCAGCUAAGGUCCCUAAAAUAGACUAAGUGGGAAAGGCUGUGGGAAUACACAGACAAUCAGGAGGUUGGCUUAGAAGCAGCAAUCCUUUAAAGAAAGCGUAAUAGCUCACUGAUCAAGUGCACCUGCGCCGAAAAUAUAACGGGGCUUAAGUCUAUUACCGAAGCUGCGGAUUGGAAACGGUUUCGAUCGUUUCCUCUGGUAGGGGAGCGUUCCAUGCAGGGUUGAAGCUCGAUCGUAAGGACGGGUGGACCGCAUGGAAGUGAGUAUGGCGGCAUAAGUAACGAUAAAACAGGUGAGAAACCUGUUCGCCGAAAAUCUAAGGUUUCCUGAGGAAGGGUAAUCCUCUCAGGGUAAGUCGGCCCCUAAGGCGAGGCUGAAAAGCGUAGCCGAUGGGAAACGGGUUAAUAUUCCCGUACCACCAAAACCGCGUUAUUAGCGAUGGGGUGACGUAGAAGGGUAAUCUAUCCGGGUGUUGGAAGUCCCGGUCCAAGCAAGUAGGGGGACAGUUUAGGCAAAUCCGGACUGUCAUUCAACCCCGAGACGUGAUGGGGAGCUUCUCUUUCGGGAAAAGCGAACUAGAUGAUCCCAUGCUACCUAGAAAAACCUCUAGUGAGCUGUUUAGGUGACCGUACUACAAACCAACUCAGGUAGAUAGGUAGAGAAUACUAAGGCGCUUGAGAGAACUCUGGUUAAGGAACUCGGCAAAUUGGCUCCGUAACUUCGGGAUAAGGAGCGCCUCCGGUAGGUGAAGGGACUUGCUCCUGGAGCCCAAGGAGGUUGCAGUGACCCGGUAGCCGCGACUGUUUAUUAAAAACACAGGACUCUGCGAAGUCGCAAGACGAUGUAUAGGGUCUGACGCCUGCCCGGUGCCGGAAGGUUAAAAGGAGGGGUUAGCUUUCGAGCGAAGCUCCGAAUUGAAGCCCCGGUAAACGGCGGCCGUAACUAUAACGGUCCUAAGGUAGCGAAAUUCCUUGUCGGGUAAGUUCCGACCCGCACGAAUGGCGUAACGAUGGCUACACUGUCUCAACCAGGGACUCAGUGAAAUUGACAUACCGGUGAAGAUGCCGGUUUCCCGCGACAGGA
rnacentral:rRNA from 1 species